GCCCGGGUGACGAAACUGGUAGACGUAGCGGACUUAAAAUCCGCGGCCGCAAGGCGUACGGGUUCGAGCCCCGUCCCGGGUACAA
rnacentral:tRNA from 1 species